rnacentral:rRNA from 1 species
GACGAACGCUGGCGGCGUGCCUAAUACAUGCAAGUAGAACGCAGUUGCGAACGGGUGAGUAACGCGUAGGUAACUGCCUCAUAGCUGGGGAUAACUAUUGGAUACGAUAGCUAAUAUCGCAUCCUUUUAGCUGGACCUGCGUUGUAUUAGCUAGUUGGUGAGGUAAAGGCUCACCAAGGCGACGAUACAUAGCCGACCUGAGAGGGUGAUCGGCCACAGUGGGAAGGAGGCACGGCCCAGACGCCUACGGGAGGCAGCAGUAGGGAAUCUUCGGAAAUGGACGGAAGUCGGACCGAGCAAAGCGGCGUGAGUGAAGAAGGUUUUCGGAUCGUAAAGCUAUGUUGUUAGAGAAGGGGUAACUAACCAGAAAGGGACGGCUAACUACGUGCCAGCAGCCGCGGUAAUUC